rnacentral:rRNA from 1 species
UUUUAAUUGAAGACUUGAAUGAACGGUUAUACAAAGAAGAAGCUGUCUUUUUAUAUUUUUGAAAUUAUCUUUUAAGUGAAAAGACUUAAAUUAUUUUAAGGGACGAUAAGACCCUAUAAAUCUUUAUACAAUAAAGUUUCUUAUUAAAAUUUUUCAUGUUAAAAAAAUUAAGAGCUCGCGAGUAUUAUGUUGGGGCGACAAGAAUAUUUAAUAAACUGUUCUAAAUAAAAUCAAAUAUAUUUGAAAUAAUAGUAGAUCCUAUUUAAAGACUGAAGUUUAAGUUACUUUAGGGAUAACAGCGUUAUUUUUUUUGAGAGUUCUUAUCGAAAAGAAAAGUUUGCGACCUCGAUGUUGAAUUAAAAUUUCUUAAUGGUGUAGUAGUCAUAUAAGAAAGUCUGUUCGACUUAUAAAAUUUUACGUGAUCU